rnacentral:tRNA from 1 species
GGGGUCGUAGCCCAAUAGGCAGAGGCACCAGUCUUAGGAACUGGACAGUGCGAGUUCGAGUCUCGCCGGCCCCA